GUGCCAGCAGCCGCGGUAAUACGGAGGGUGCAAGCAUUAAUCGGAUUUAUUGGGCGUAAAGGGGGCGUAGGCGGGAAUGUAAGUCAGACGUGAAAUCCCGGGGCUCAACCCCGGAACUGCGUUUGAAACUACUUUUCUUGAGGCAGGGCGGAGAAAACGGAAUUCCACAUGUAGCGGUGAAAUGCGUAGAUAUGUGGAAGAACACCGGUGGCGAAGGCGGUUUUCUAGCUCUGACCUGACGCUGAGGCCCGAAAGCUAGGGGAGCAAACAGGAUUAGAUACCCUGGUAGUCCUAGCCGUAAACGAUGCAUACUUGGUGUAACUGGACUCAACCCCGGUUGUGCCGUAGCUAACGCGUUAAGUAUGCCGCCUGGGGAGUACGCCCGCAAGGGUGAA
rnacentral:rRNA from 1 species